CAUUGGGAAGAGAAUAAAGAGCUAACCUUACAUCGUAGCGAAAGAGUAUCGACUUUGGGACGUUUGUUAUCGCUAGCGUUACAUUAUUAAAAGUUUAGCUCUUGUAUUCAAUCAUGUUUCUUAUAACAGUAUUCCAUAAUGUAAGUAUAUUAAAUACACAGGAAAAAGGUUGAACGUGAACAAAGUUGGGCUACUCACACGACGAAAACUGUUGCCAGCAGCACCAGCCCUGUGUGAUACCUGGUUCAGUGCCCGAGAGUCUUCCAUGACUCUGCAGUAGAGUGGAGAACAUACUGCGACCAUGCCCCAAUGAUGUGCCUGUCUCUCUGGCCCUGGACACCUUACCGGCCCAGGCAGCAGAUCCCUUCCAUACACAUUAGGACAAUGAUCCCUGCCACAG
ensembl:lncRNA